rnacentral:rRNA from 1 species
AUUGAACGCUGGCGGCAGGCCUAACACAUGCAAGUCGAACGGCAGCACAGAAGAGCUUGCUCUUUGGGUGGCGAGUGGCGGACGGGUGAGUAAUGUCUGGGAAACUGCCCGAUGGAGGGGGAUAACUACUGGAAACGGUAGCUAAUACCGCAUAACGUCGCAAGACCAAAGUGGGGGACCUUCGGGCCUCACACCAUCGGAUGUGCCCAGAUGGGAUUAGCUAGUAGGUGGGGUAAUGGCUCACCUAGGCGACGAUCCCUAGCUGGUCUGAGAGGAUGAACAGCCACACGGGAACUGAGACACGGUCCAGACUCCUACGGGAGGCAGCAGUGGGGAAUAUUGCACAAUGGGCGCAAGCCUGAUGCAGCCAUGCCGCGUGUAUGAAGAAGGCCUUCGGGUUGUAAAGUACUUUCAGCGGGGAGGAAGGCGGUGAGGUUAAUAACCUUGCCGAUUGACGUUACCCGCAGAAGAAGCACCGGCUAACUCCGUGCCAGCAGCCGCAGUAA